AUUUGGAAAACAGCAUGAUGUAUUGGUUGGUAUAACAAUGAAUUGCUGCCAGUUCCAGAUGUAUUAAACAAGGAUGAUUACGUGGCUGUAUAUUGGAGCGACAAAUGGAUUAGAGGAUGCAUUGAACGUCCAGAUCCAUCGGGAGAGAGAAGCGUAGUACGAUUAUUUGAUCACGGUGGUUACUGGCAGUUUAGUAAUUCGUAAUGUAGGCCAUUGAUAUAUAAUUAUUUGAGCCUACCCUUCCAAGCCAUCGAAAUCUUUUUAGCAAAUAUUCAGCCAAAGAACGGUAAAUGGUCGACAGAAGCUUACAAUGUGGUACAAAAUUGUUCCUCAAAGGGAGUUGCUGCUCAAGCUCAGAUUGAAGGUCGCAUUCAAACUAAAAUUUAUGCAAAUAUUUAUUUUAUGAUACAAAAUU